UGCCUAAACCAUACGGCUAACCGGAUGGCAUGGCACAAAACCAUAGUGGGUACUGAUCCCGUCGUUCAGCAUCCCACUAUGGUCGUACGUCGAAAGGCGUAUGGGUGGCCGAAAGGCUGCC
rnacentral:sRNA from 1 species